AGCAGCCGCGGUAAUUCCAGCUCCAAUAGCGUAUAUUAAAGUUGUUGCAGUUAAAAAGCUCGUAGUUGAAUUUCGGGAUUUGUCAGUUGGUCGGGCUUCACUGUCCGUAUUGACUUGAUGGAUUCUUACCUUCUGAAUAACCAGCAUGCUAUUAAGUUAGUGCGUUGGGGAAGCAGAUCUAUUACCUUGAAAAAAUUAGAGUGCUUAAAGCGAGCUAGUGCUUGAAUAGAUUAGCAUGGAAUAAUAAAAUAGGACGGCAUGGUUCUAUUUUGUUGGUUUCUAGGAUCACCGUAAUGAUUAAUAGGGAUAGUUGGGGGCAUUAGUAUUCAAUUGUCAGAGGUGAAAUUCUUGGAUUUAUUGAAGACUAACUUCUGCGAAAGCAUUUGCCAAGGAUGUUUUCAUUAAUCAAGAACGAAAGUUAGGGGAUCGAAGACGAUCAGAUACCGUCGUAGUCUUAACCAUAAACUAUGCCGACUAGGAAUCGGACGAUGUUAAUUUUAUAAUGACCCGUUCGGCACCU
rnacentral:rRNA from 1 species